GUAGGGUGCAAGCGUUGUCCGGAAUUAUUGGGCGUAAAGAGCUCGUAGGUGGCUUGUCACGUCUGCUGUGAAAACUCGGGGCUCAACCCCGAGCCUGCAGUGGAUACGGGCUAGCUAGAGUGCGGUAGGGGAGACUGGAAUUCCUGGUGUAGCGGUGAAAUGCGCAGAUAUCAGGAGGAACACCGGUGGCGAAGGCGGGUCUCUGGACCGAUACUGACACUGAGGAGCGAAAGCGUGGGGAGCGAACAGGAUUAGAUACCCUGGUAGUCCACGCCGUAAACGUUGGGCGCUAGGUGUGGGGAACUUUCCACGUUCUCCGUGCCGCAGCUAACGCAUUAAGCGCCCCGCCUGGGGAGUACGGCCGCAAGGCUA
rnacentral:rRNA from 1 species